UAAGCGGAGGAAAAGAAACUAACAAGGAUUCCCCUAGUAACUGCGAGUGAAGCGGGAAAAGCUCAAAUUUAAAAUCUGGUGGUCUUUGNCCAUCCGAGUUGUAAUUUAGAGAAGUGUCUUCCGCGCUGGACCGUGCACAAGUCUCCUGGAAUGGAGCGUCAUAGAGGGUGAGAAUCCCGUCUUUGGCACGGACACACCAGGGCUUUUGUGAUACACUCUCGAAGAGUCGAGUUGUUUGGGAAUGCAGCUCAAAAUGGGUGGUGAACUCCAUCUAAAGCUAAAUAUUGGCGAGAGACCGAUAGCGAACAAGUACCGUGAGGGAAAGAUGAAAAGCACUUUGGAAAGAGAGUGAAACAGUACGUGAAAUUGUUGAAAGGGAAACGCUUGAAGUCAGUCACGUUAACCGAGACUCAGCCUUGCCUUGGCUUGGUGUACUUCUUGGCUAACGGGUCAGCAUCAAUUUUGCCCCUUGGAUAAUGGUAAGGGAAAUGUGACACCUUUAUGGUGUGUUAUAGUCUCUUGUCGCAUGCAAGGGUUGGGAUUGAGGAACUCAGUACGCACCUUUGGGUGUCGGGGCUUUGCCUACGAUACGUGCUUAGGAUGUUGGCAUAAUGGCUUUAAACGACC
rnacentral:rRNA from 1 species